rnacentral:rRNA from 1 species
UACAGAGGUCCCGAGCGUUGUUCGGAUUCACUGGGCGUAAAGGGUGCGUAGGUGGUGAGGUAAGUCGGAUGUGAAAGCUCCAAGCUCAACUUGGAAAUGGCAUUGGAAACUACCUUGCUAGAGGGUUUGAGGGGGGACUGGAAUACUUGGUGUAGCAGUGAAAUGCGUAGAUAUCAAGUGGAACACCAGUGGCGAAGGCGAGUCCCUGGAAAACUCCUGACGCUGAGGCACGAAAGGUCAGGGGAGCAAACGGG